AGAGUUUGAUCCUGGCUCAGGACGAACGCUGGCGGCGUGCUUAACACAUGCAAGUCGAACGGGGUUUAGUCGAAAGAUUACUUUUAACUAAACCUAGUGGCGGACGGGUGAGUAACGCGUGGAUAACCUGCCCACUAGACUGGGAUAACGCCGGGAAACCGGUGCUAAUACCGGAUACGUUCACCGGAUUGCAUAAUCUGGUGAAGAAAGGUGCAAGCCGCUAAUGGAUGGGUCCGCGUCCCAUUAGCUAGUUGGUAGGGUAACGGCCUACCAAGGCCACGAUGGGUAGCCGGCCUGAGAGGGCGACCGGCCACACUGGAACUGAGACACGGUCCAGACUCCUACGGGAGGCAGCAGUGGGGAAUCUUCCGCAAUGGGCGCAAGCCUGACGGAGCAACGCCGCGUGAGUGACGAAGGUCUUCGGAUUGUAAAACUCUGUCCAUAGGGAAGAACCAACUGACGGUACCUUUGGAGGAAGCCCCGGCUAACUACGUGCCAGCAGCCGCGGUAACACGUAGGGGGCGAGCGUUGUCCGGAAUUACUGGGCGUAAAGGGCGUGUAGGCGGCCAAGUAAGUCAGUCGUGAAACCCAGCGGCUUAACCGCUGGCUUGCGAUAGAAACUGCCUGGCUUGAGUGCAGUAGAGGGGAGUGGAAUUCCCAGUGUAGCGGUGAAAUGCGUAGAUAUUGGGAGGAACACCAGUGGCGAAAGCGGCUCCCUGGCCUGCAACUGACGCUGAGGCGCGAAAGCGUGGGUAGCAAACAGGAUUAGAUACCCUGGUAGUCCACGCCGUAAACGAUGGGUGCUAGGUGUUGGGGGUAUCGACCCCCCCCAGUGCCGCAGUUAACGCACUAAGCACCCCGCCUGGGGAGUACGGCCGCAAGGCUGAAACUCAAAGGAAUUGACGGGGGCCCGCACAAGCGGUGGAGUAUGUGGUUUAAUUCGACGCAACGCGAAGAACCUUACCAGGUCUUGACAUCCCCUGCUCGCUGUGGAAACACAGACUUCCAUCUUCGGAUGGACAGGGAGACAGGUGGUGCAUGGUUGUCGUCAGCUCGUGUCGUGAGAUGUUGGGUUAAGUCCCGCAACGAGCGCAACCC
rnacentral:rRNA from 1 species